CGCCGCGGUUAUACGAGAGAUCCAAAUUGACAAAACCCGGCACAAAGAGUGGUUAAUUGAAUAAUUCUAAGGCAGAACACCCUCGAAGCCGUUAUACGCACUUGAGCACAGGAAAAUCUUCCACGAAAGUGGCCUUAAAACAAAUGACCCUACGAAAGUUAGGACA
rnacentral:rRNA from 1 species